GACGAACGCUGGCGGCGUGCUUAACACAUGCAAGUCGAACGUGAUUUUUGUGGAAAUUCUUUCGGGAAUGGAAAUGAAAUGAAAGUGGCGAACGGGUGAGUAACACGUGAGCAACCUACCUUACACAGGGGGAUAGCCGUUGGAAACGACGAUUAAUACCGCAUGAGACCACAGAAUCGCAUGAUAUAGGGGUCAAAGAUUUAUCGGUGUAAGAAGGGCUCGCGUCUGAUUAGCUAGUUGGAAGGGUAAAGGCCUACCAAGGCGACGAUCAGUAGCCGGUCUGAGAGGAUGAACGGCCACAUUGGAACUGAGACACGGUCCAAACUCCUACGGGAGGCAGCAGUGGGGAAUAUUGCACAAUGGGGGGAACCCUGAUGCAGCGACGCCGCGUGAGCGAAGAAGGUUUUCGAAUCGUAAAGCUCUGUCCUAUGAGAAGAUAAUGACGGUAUCAUAGGAGGAAGCCCCGGCUAAAUACGUGCCAGCAGCCGCGGUAAUACGUAUGGGGCGAGCGUUGUCCGGAAUUAUUGGGCGUAAAGGGUACGUAGGCGGUUUUUUAAGUCAGGUGUGAAAGCGUGAGGCUUAACCUCAUUAAGCACUUGAAACUGGAAGACUUGAGUGAAGGAGAGGAAAGUGGAAUUCCUAGUGUAGCGGUGAAAUGCGUAGAUAUUAGGAGGAAUACCGGUGGCGAAGGCGACUUUCUGGACUUUUACUGACGCUCCGGUACCAAAGCGUGGGGAGCAACAGGAUGAAUACCCUGGUAGUCCAAGGGGCGAUUUUACAUUGGAUUUUAGCUUAUCCAUCCGACCACCUCGAGGGGGGG
rnacentral:rRNA from 1 species